rnacentral:lncRNA from 1 species
UUAACUUGUUAAAUCAUAAAAAAAAAAUCUUUCCAAAAAAAGGUAUACUGGAAACAUGUGGAUGUGGGGUUGUUAUUAAAAAUCAAAGCAAAAUAGCCUUUCCUGAAACAAGAGGAACCUCCCUUAACUCAGAGCUACAGCUGAGUCAACCAGAGUAAAAAAAUGGGUGUAUGCUGAAAAGUCGUGAAGUGUGGACACUAUCGCUAAUUAUAUUC